CGCCACGUCGGUGGGGGAUAACGCAGCGAAAGCUGUGCUAAUACCGCAUACGAUCUGUGGAUGAAAGCGGGGGACCGUAAGGCCUCGCGCGAUUGGAGCGGCCGAUGGCAGAUUAGGUAGUUGGUGGGGUAAAGGCUCACCAAGCCGACGAUCUGUAGCUGGUCUGAGAGGACGACCAGCCACACUGGGACUGAGACACGGCCCAG
rnacentral:rRNA from 1 species